rnacentral:ncRNA from 1 species
GAAAGUUAAAGGUUCGAGGGGCAAUCAGAUACCGCCCCAGUCUCACCAUAAACGAUACCAACCAGCGAUCCGUCGGUGUUUAUUUGAUAGCUCGACGGGCAGCUUCCGGGAAACCAAGGUGCUGAGGU